CUGCUUUUCUCUGCAAUACCAAGCUCUUGGGAUUUCUACAUUUAAGCGCCUGGCUGCAAUGGGAGCAAGGGAAAAGUUUUCAGCUAAAAUGUCACGCUGAAGCAGAGAGCAUCCCAUGGAGGAAGUGCCUUUUAGCAUUCAUGACAUCACGCUGCCCGCCAGGCUGGAGACGUCUUCUCUGGCCGAACGCUGAACUGCAGGAGGACGGCCUGCAGACACAACAGACACUAAACUGAAUGUUGAUCCGACAAAGCUCAGCUUUCCAGCUUGGAAGCAAAACAAUGGAUGUCAGGUCCCCAUCUGAAUGAAGAGGCGUCACAUGCCGAUGGUAGCUGUUGUAAGACGAACAAACAUCACAUCAAAUGUUAGUGUGUUCACAGCAUCUUCACACAGUCCUGAUGGUGCCGUGUUACCGCUCCAAGCCCGACCGCCUGCUUCAUGUUUUCAUCCUGACGUUAAGCUGCAGCAGAGGACGGACAGGAAACGCUCUCACAGACAG